UAAUUUUGAUUGGAUUUUAUAAACGUAAACAUAUCCUUCACACAUUUUAAUUAAAUCUAAUAACAGAAAACACACCAAACACAAACGUUAGCAUUCGUUCUUUUGGGAACUAUUUUAUUACAUACUGAGAACUUUCUAUUCUGGUGAACAAGGUGCAAGUCCAAGUGACCGGUUCACCUCGGGUAGGAGUCAUCACAGCCAGAGAAAACAACCCACAUUUCUCUCAAUCACAAGCAUCUCAGCACGUCUCUUCUCUCGAAUGACUGGACCGACCAUCUGGGCCUGGAGAAGUCGGCAUGCUGUCAGUGUUUCAUCCGCCCUUCUUGUCAAGCUCUAAUCCUGCAGUAACCCAGAAGCAGAUGCCACCAGCACGAGGGAGGAAUAGCGAGAAGGAGCUGAAGCACAGUGUUGAGCUAUGUCCGGCCUGAGCAUGUCAUUCUGAGAAACACAACAGCCAGAAGGAGAGAGCAUGUCAGUGUGGCUGAAUGCAAAGGGAAACCUAAUCUCCUGGCAGUCGGUGCCCUUUGCUCCCCCAGAGAGAAGGGCGGCAACAAGAGAAGCAGCUGUCUCUUACAAUGGAGCAGCUCAACGAUCCUCAUUCAGACCUGGUUCACCAAUCCGGCAUCAAUGCACACGCCCAGCUGACAAUGCUGGCACACAGGAAAGCCAGACAUUGGUGGGGGAGGUGCUGGGCAUUGUCUUUGGAAAAAAGGAUGGCAACUAGGGUUGCAUCACCACUGGUUUAACUGCCAUGUCAAAUAUGAUCCACCCCUACUCAGCAGUUAUGUUCUGCCAAAACAGGACACCAAGAGACACAUUGAAAUACAAGAUCAACUUAUUUUUACAUUGGUCAUGUAUGGUUUUAGGCAUCUGGUCAAGAGUGAGUAGAAGAACUGAUAGAACUAUAGUAAACUCAGACAAGCACAAGGAAAAAAAUAUGAAUAAAACAAACAGAAUGAUCUGGAAUAUUGGUUCUGUUCAUUUUAUUAAGGCAAUUUUGUUUUUCAUUUUUAUUUAUUUCAUAAAAUCCAUAUAAUUUUACAAAAGAAACACAAACGUCCAAAUUGGGCUACUAUUUAUCAUUUAAGUUGUGUGUGAAUCUUUUCAUGGGUUAAGCCUAACUUAAUAUUUUUGCCAGAUUUACAAAAGUUAUCACUAGUUUCUUCUUACUUGUACUUGUGCAGAUAAACUACAAGAACUCGUGCUCGUUAUACAUUUUGAAAUCUUUCAGUCAUGUGUCACAAUAAUGAAUGUCUUCACAUCUAACACAGUUUUCAUGCAAUAUAAAUGUUUUGCUCUAUGUUCAUGAAUACCACAUUACCCUUGUAAAUGAUCCGGAAAACAAUUUAGCCACAAAUUAAUUCUUAUGUAGCUGGA